AUCAGUUAUGGUUCCUUAGAUUAUUAACAGUUACUUGGAUAACUGUGGUAAUUCUAGAGCUAAUACAUGCAAUAUAAACACGAGCCAUAAUAGCAAUGUUGUGGAGCGUGUGCUUUUAUUAGACAAAAACCAAGCGAUCGGUGAUUCCGCAUCAUCGAUUGUUAAAAUUUGGUUGAACUCUGAAUAACUUGCUGAUCGUAUGGUCUUGUACCGAUGACAGAUCUUUCAAAUGUCUGCCCUAUCAACUUUUGAUGGUAGUAUAUUGGACUACCAUGGUUGCUACGGGUAACGGGGAAUCAGGGUUCGAUUCCGGAGAGGGAGCCUGAGAAACGGCUACCACAUCUAAGGAAGGCAGCAGGCGCGUAAAUUACCCACUCCCAGCUCGGGGAGGUAGUGACGAAAAAUAACAAUACAGGACUCAUUUUAGAGGCAUUGUAAUUGGAAUGAGUACACUUUAAAUCCUUUAACAAGGACCUAUUGGAGGGCAAGCCUAGUGCCAGCAGCCGCGGUAACUCUAGCUCCAAUAGCGUAUAUUAAAGUUGUUGCGGUUAAAACGUUCGUAGUUGAAUUUGUGCUUCAUACGGGUAGUAUCGGUUAUAAAUGUAGUCGAUUACUAUACCUUAUGUAUGUAAGCGUAUUACCGGUGGGAGUUCCAUAUUUGUAUAUUUGUGUUGGAAUGCGGUGUGGCGUUAUUGUCUUGAUGAAUGUUUUGUCGUUUCGAUGACAUUGCAUCUCGUCAUUAGCAUGGCGUUGUAAUCCAUCCAACCGGUUUACAGAUAUACUCCUGAUUUUCUUUUUUUUUUUAAAUAAAGAAAAAGAAAAACCCAUUUCGGUGCUCUUUAUCGGGUGUUGUUGUGGGCCGGUACAAUUACUUUGAACAAAUUAGAGUGCUUCAAGCAGGCUAUAAAAUGCCUGAAUAUUUUGUGCAUGGAAUAAUGAAAUAAGACCUCUGUUCUACUUUCAUUGGUUUUUAGAUCGAAAGAGGUAAUGAUUAAUAGAAGCAGUUUGGGGGCAUUAGUAUUACGACGCGAGAGGUGAAAUUCUUGGACCGUCGUAAGACUAACUUAAGCGAAAGCAUUUGCCAAAGAUGUUUUCAUUAAUCAAGAACGAAAGUUAGAGGUUCGAAGGCGAUCAGAUACCGCCCUAGUUCUAACCAUAAACGAUGCCAGCUAGCAAUUGGGUGUAGCUAAGAUUAUGGCUCUCUCAGUCGCUCCCGG
rnacentral:rRNA from 1 species